rnacentral:rRNA from 1 species
AGAGUUUGAUCCUGGCUCAGGACGAACGCUGGCGGCGUGGAUUAGGCAUGCAAGUCGAACGGUAGAUACUCCUUCGGGGGUAUUGAGAGUGGCGAACGGGUGAGUAACACGUAGAUGAUCUACCCUCAAAUGGGGGACAACCCAGGGAAACUUGGGCUAAUACCGCAUGAGUGCAGCGCAUAAAUUAUCUUUUGCUGGGUAAUUUAUGCGCUGUAUAAAAGAUGGCUUUCGGGCUGUCGUUUGGGGAUGAGUCUGCGUCCUAUUAGUUAGUUGGUGAGGUAAUGGCUCACCAAGGCGAUGAUAGGUAGGCGGCCUUAACGGGUGGCCGCCCACACUGGGAUUGAGAUACGGCCCAGACUCCUACGGGAGGCAGCAGUCGAGAAUAGUCUACAAUGGACGAAAGUCUGAUAGUGCGACGCCGCGUGAACGAAGAAUCCCUUCGGGGUGUAAAGUUCUUUUAUAUGUGAGCAAUGCUUUUUAUGUGAAUAGCAUGAGAAGAGAGAUAUUAGCAUAUGAAUAAGCAACGGCUAACUCCGUGCCAGCAGCCGCGGUAACACGGGGGUUGCAAGCGUUGUCCGGAAUUACUAGGCGUAAAGGGCAGGUAGGCGGAUCCAUAAGUUUGAUGUUAAAGGCAGCGGCUCACCCGCUGUACGGCGUCAGAUACUGUGGAUCUGGAAUGCGGUUGGGGAAGACAGAAUUCCUGGUGUAGCGGUGGAAUGCGCAGAGAUCAGGAGGAAUACCAAAGGCGAAGGCAGUCUUCUAAGCCGUUAUUGACGCUAAACUGCGAAGGUGUGGGUAUCAAACAGGAUUAGAUACCCUGGUAGUCCACACAGUAAACGAUAAUCACUAGGUGUCGGGUUCGUAGAGAAUUCGGUGCCGUAGCUAACGCGAUAAGUGAUUCGCCUGGGGAGUACGAUCGCAAGGUUGAAACUCAAAGGAAUUGACGGGGGCCCGCACAAGCGGUGGAGCAUGUGGUUUAAUU